CUACUGGACCUGCUUGAGAGAGAGGGAUUCAUGGGAGGAAAUUAUUUCCUAAAUGCAGAUUCCUGGCUGAGAGGAAUAAAGAGUAAUUGAAUAUAGGCAGUUUCUAGACAUUAUGCUCACAAGAGAAGUAAGAACAGAAGAAACCACUCAAGUCUUGCUGAGGAAAUUACAGGAAUUUUAGAAGAUGGUUUCUGCCUGGAUUAAAAGACAGUAUUGAAUCUCUGCUUGUUUUGCUUAUAAAAAGUGAAGUUGCCUGUACCAAUAUUCCAGGAAGAAAACGACAGAGGAAUAACAAGGAUUUUGGUUGCUUGUUUUUUUUUUCCUGAUUUCAUUUUGCCUGCUUAUUAGCCUUCAGAGACUACAAAAGAACAGAAAGUUAUUUUUCUGGUUUUUAGUAUUUUUGAAUAUGUUUUACACUCUGAAUAAACUUUUUAGACGAGAUAUAGGACUUCAUUAUGAUCAUUCUUGGAAAAGCUAUUUUUUUUUUUAGUUUGCCUCCAAUUUUUUUUUCAGGUACAAAGAGAUGUUUUCCAGUCAGAGCUUAUUACUGUAACAAUAUUGCAGUAUUAUUUCUGGCUUUAAAAGAAAUACAGUGUUCAUGUCACUUCAUGAGAUACCAUUGAGGAAUGUAGAGGAAGUUUUAUUUUUUAGCAUUGUGUAACUUAGUUUUGAUUUUGAAUCUUUAAACCACAGACACACCUAUAGAACCAGCUUUAUACUGCAAAUCCAAAUGUGAAAGAUGUCUUGGAAGAGAAAUUAUUUUUCUGUGGGACAGGGUGGUGUGCAAGGCAUGUUUACUCCACGAAAUACAACAUCUAUAGCACCAAGUAAAGGCCUCAGCAAUGAGCCAGGACAAAACAGCUGCUUCCUGAAUAGUGCACUACAGGUGCUCUGGCAUCUUGAUAUUUUUCGACGCAGUUUUCGACAACUUACAACACACAAAUGCAUGGGAGAUUCCUGUAUAUUUUGUGCCCUCAAAGUAAGUGAUAGAAUGAAUUCAAGGAGAGUCAACAAAUAUAUAU